rnacentral:rRNA from 1 species
ACUCCUACGGGAGGCAGCAGUGGGGAAUAUUGCACAAUGGGGGAAACCCUGAUGCAGCCAUGCCGCGUGUGUGAAGAAGGCCUUCGGGUUGUAAAGCACUUUCAGUAGGGAGGAAGGUAGUGUAGUUAACACCUGCAUUAUUUGACGUUACCUACAGAAGAAGCACCGGCUAACUCCGUGCCAGCAGCCGCGGUAAUACGGAGGGUGCGAGCGUUAAUCGGAAUUACUGGGCGUAAAGCGCAUGCAGGCGGCCUGUUAAGUCAGAUGUGAAAGCCCGGGGCUUAACCUCGGAAUUGCAUUUGAAACUGGCAGGCUAGAGUCUUGUAGAGGGGUUAGAAUUUCAGGUGUAGCGGUGAAAUGCGUAGAGAUCUGAAGGAAUACCAGUGGCGAAGGCGGCCCCUGGACAAAGACUGACGCUCAGAUGCGAAAGCGUGGGAGCAAACAGGAUUAGAUACCCCGU